rnacentral:rRNA from 1 species
CCUACGGGUGGCUGCAGUGGGGAAUAUUGGACAAUGGGGGAAACCCUGAUCCAGCGACGCCGCGUGAGUGAAGAAGUAUUUCGGUACGUAAAGCUCUAUCAGCAGGAAAGAAAAUGACGGUACCUGACUAAGAAGCCCCGGCUAACUACGUGCCAGCAGCCGCGGUAAUACGUAGGGGGCAAGCGUUAUCCGGAUUUACUGGGUGUAAAGGGAGCGUAGACGGCAGCGCAAGUCUGGAGUGAAAUGCCGGGGCCCAACCCCGGAACUGCUCUGGAAACUGUGAAGCUGGAGUGCAGGAGAGGUAAGCGGAAUUCCUGGUGUAGCGGUGAAAUGCGUAGAUAUCAGGAGGAACAUCGGUGGCGUAAGCGCUUUACUGGGCCGUAAUUGACACUGAGGAACGAAAGCCGGGGUAGCAAAUGGGAUUAGAUACCCGUGUAGUC